rnacentral:rRNA from 1 species
GACGAACGCUGGCGGCGUGCCUAAUACAUGCAAGUUGAGCGCUGAAGGUUGGUACUUGUACCAACUGGAUGAGCAGCGAACGGGUGAGUAACGCGUGGGGAAUCUGCCUUUGAGCGGGGGACAACAUUUGGAAACGAAUGCUAAUACCGCAUAAAAACUUUAAACACAAGUUUUAAGUUUGAAAGAUGCAAUUGCAUCACUCAAAGAUGAUCCCGCGUUGUAUUAGCUAGUUGGUGAGGUAAAGGCUCACCAAGGCGAUGAUACAUAGCCGACCUGAGAGGGUGAUCGGCCACAUUGGGACUGAGACACGGCCCAAACUCCUACGGGAGGCAGCAGUAGGGAAUCUUCGGCAAUGGACGAAAGUCUGACCGAGCAACGCCGCGUGAGUGAAGAAGGUUUUCGGAUCGUAAAACCCUGUUGGUAGAGAAGAACGUUGGUGAGAGCGGAAAGCUCAUCAAGUGACGGUAACUACCCAGAAAGGGACGGCUAACUACGUG